CAGAAACUUCAAAAAGGCUCCAACUUUAUUAAAUGGCCUGCGCACGCUCUUAUUUUGUCGCUCUCUGUUUCUGUCUUUGUCAUCUACGCGCGCUCUCGCUGAACGAAAUGAUAUCGACGCUCGCUAAGCUGCCACUUUACUCCCCCCGCCCACUGAACCCUGCCCACAUCAACGACAAUUCUAACACUUCAUUGGAGCCGUUUGCGUUGCGUUGCGUUGCGUUACGUUGCGACGGCAACGACGCGUCGUCAAGUCAUUUGAUUCCCACACAAAUCUCUGCAUACUGAGCGGACGCGAGAGUCGCUACCCAUUAUAGCAAGUGAGUUAUGAGCCUGUGUCAGUGUGUGUGUGUGCGAGUGUUUGUACUGCGCUUUCUAUUGAUUUAUAUGUAUGAGCUUUAUGGCGCAAUUUGAGUGCUUUGCAACGAGUACAAAGCUCAACAAGAAGAAGAGAUGAAGUAAACACAUUUUGAAUUUACAAGUGCUGCCAAAGACAAUGCGUAGAUGACAGCCCAACAUUUAAUUGCGGACGAGCGCGUUUUGUUAACAAACGGGCGCUGGGAAUAAAUUAUGAUGCCCUGGCCACUCUUAACAAAGGAGCCGAACAGCUGGUAGCGCCCCGUGCACACAAACGGAGAAGAAGAAGAACCAUACAAAAUGACAGAUGGCGACGUCAGCGCCGACGCCGGCAGCAGGACACGAAUGUCAAAACAAAAACAUUUCGAGCGCGAUUGCGGCCGCCUUCAAAAUACUAACCUGUAAAAUGUGUGGCAAAGGCGAUUUUCCACUAUUUUGUCGUCGCUUCAAUUUCCAAAAAGUAACGACAUAAAGCGAGGUAAUCACAUUAAAAAACAACCGCGACGAAAGUUGACACACAAAAGUAAACAAAU